UGCCUCUCUGCCUGAGCGUGGUAGGUGGCCAGCAUUUCCUGAAGGGCCUUUCUUCCAGUUACCUGUUCUUUCUUUCAUCCUGAAGCCUACAACUCCUAGGGAGAUGCUGAGGUUUGUGCUCGUUAUAGCAGCAACUGCUGAAAACUCUAAUUCACGCAAGUAGGAAUCAAGCAAAGGGAGGGUGCUCAGAUUAUGGAACGUCUCUAAGGCUAGUUAGCAAAGUGUAGGACCUUUAGGACUGAAGAACUGAGAAACCAAAUUACAUAUAUGCAGAUGCGACAAUUCUGGGCCAGAUUUCUCCCCUACAUGGGACUGAACUGAAAAAGAAGAUCCAGGGGAAAGGGAAGACUGGUGACUCUAACUAGCAAAUGGACAAGCCUUGACUGACCAGGCAAGAAAUAUUUGUAUAACAUUCCUGGACUAUAACACUUCACUCCAAGUUUUAAAGAAGUGCCAAUAAUAGAAGCAUUCAGACAUCAUUCCAUGGGUGACAUUUUCCUGCUGUGGGGUCUGACCCAUUACCCUUCAAACAACUAAUUAUUGGUCCAAAGAGAGAAAUGCCUGGGGAAUAUAUAUAGGGAAUAUGCAUAUAAAAUAAACAUCACAAUGAACAACUGAAGAAAAAGAAAUAUCUCAACACAUUUGACAGUAGUUAAGACGUCUAUCACCUGGAGAUGCUCUCAAAUCUUUAGUUACCUUAAGGAAACCUGGACUGACUUUAGGUGGCUGAGGCUAAACAAUAAAGGUGG